GUGGGGAAUAUUGGGCAAUGGGGGAAACCCUGACCCAGCAACGCCGCAUGAAGGAAGAAGGUUUUCGGAUCGUAAACUUCUAUCCUUGGUGAAGAUAAUGACGGUAGCCAAGAAGGAAGCCCCGGCUAACUACGUGCCAGCAGCCGCGGUAAUACGUAGGGGGCAAGCGUUGUCCGGAAUGAUUGGGCGUAAAGGGCGCGUAGGCGGCCUGGUAAGUCUGGAGUGAUAGUUCUGCUUGUAAGGUGGGAAUUGCUUGGGGUACUGUCGGGCUUGAGUGCAGGAGAGGUAAGCGGAAUUCCCGGUGUAGCGGUGAAAUGCGUAGAGAUCGAGAGGAACACCAGUGGCGAAGGCGGCUUACUGGACUGUAACUGACGCUGAGGCGCGAAAGUGUGGGGAGCAAACAGGAUUAGAAACCCCGGUAGUCC
rnacentral:rRNA from 1 species